UACGUAGGGGGGCAAGCGUUGUCCGGAUUUAUUGGGCGUAAAGAGCGUGUAGGCGGCCAGAUAGGUCUGUUGUGAAAACUCGAGGCUCAACCUCGAGACGCCGAUGGAAACCAUCUGGCUAGAGUCCGGAAGAGGAGAGUGGAAUUCCUGGUGUAGCGGUGAAAUGCGCAGAUAUCAGGAAGAACACCCGUGGCUAAGGCGGCUCUCUAGUACGGUACUGACGCUGAGACGCGAAAGCGUGGGGGAGCGAACAGG
rnacentral:rRNA from 1 species